AUUGAACGCUGGCGGCAUGCUUUACACAUGCAAGUCGAACGGUAACAGGCCGCAAGGUGCUGACGAGUGGCGAACGGGUGAGUAAUGCAUCGGAACGUGCCCAGUCGUGGGGGAUAACUACUCGAAAGAGUAGCUAAUACCGCAUACGAUCUAUGGAUGAAAGCGGGGGACCGUAAGGCCUCGCGCGAUUGGAGCGGCCGAUGUCAGAUUAGGUAGUUGGUGGGGUAAAGGCUCACCAAGCCAACGAUCUGUAGCUGGUCUGAGAGGACGACCAGCCACACUGGGACUGAGACACGGCCCAGACUCCUACGGGAGGCAGCAGUGGGGAAUUUUGGACAAUGGGCGCAAGCCUGAUCCAGCAAUGCCGCGUGAAGGAAGAAGGCCUUCGGGUUGUAAACUGCUUUUGUACGGAACGAAACGGCUCUGGUUAAUACCCGGGGCUAAUGACGGUACCGUAAGAAUAAGCACCGGCUAACUACGUG
rnacentral:rRNA from 1 species